ACGAACGCUGGCGGCAGGCUUAACACAUGCAAGUCGAACGGUCUCUUCGGAGGCAGUGGCAGACGGGUGAGUAACGCGUGGGAAUCUACCUAGUUCUGCGGAACAACAGUUGGAAACGACUGCUAAUACCGCAUACGCCCUACGGGGGAAAGAUUUAUCGGAAUUAGAUGAGCCCGCGUAAGAUUAGCUAGUUGGUGGGGUAAUGGCCUACCAAGGCGACGAUCUUUAGCUGGUCUGAGAGGAUGAUCAGCCACACUGGGACUGAGACACGGCCCAGACUCCUACGGGAGGCAGCAGUGGGGAAUAUUGGACAAUGGGCGCAAGCCUGAUCCAGCCAUGCCGCGUGAGUGAUGAAGGCCUUAGGGUUGUAAAGCUCUUUCAGUGGGGAAGAUAAUGACGGUACCCACAGAAGAAGCCCCGGCUAACUUCGU
rnacentral:rRNA from 1 species